UACGAAGGGUGCAAGCGUUACUCGGAAUUACUGGGCGUAAAGCGUGCGUAGGUGGUGAGUUAAGUCUGUCGUGAAAGCCCCGGGCUCAACCUGGGAAUGGCGAUGGAUACUGGCUCGCUAGAGUCCGGAAGAGGAGAGUGGAAUUCCUGGUGUAGCGGUGAAAUGCGCAGAUAUCGGGAAGAACACCCGUGGCUAAGGCGGCUCUCUAGUACGGUACUGACGCUGAGACGCGAAAGCGUGGGGAGCGAACAGG
rnacentral:rRNA from 1 species